AACGCACAUUGCGCCCCAUGGUAGUCCGUGGGGCAUGCCCGUCUCAGCGUCAGUGAAACCCAUCAACUCCUGACUUUUCUGUUGGAGGUUGGAUUCUGUCAGGGAAGCUGUGACCUCCCAGGUCAUAGCUCCUUGAAAAUCUAUGGAUGUUCAGACCACCAUGUUGGGAACGUGAUGUGAUUAUUUUCGUUCCACGGGGUUUGUUUUCGACCAUCCUAAAAACUGACAUGCCAUCGAGCACCUUUAAGCAUUUGACCUGAGAUCGGGUAGGGAUACCCGCUGAACUUAA
rnacentral:misc_RNA from 1 species